rnacentral:tRNA from 2 species
GCCCACCUGGCGGAAUUUGGUAGACGCGCUGGGUUUAGGUUCCAGUGGCCUUGGUCGUGGGGGUUCAAGUCCCCCGGUGGGCA